rnacentral:piRNA from 1 species
UCCCGGAGGAACCCGACAAAAUCACUGU